UCUAGUUGAAAAUGGCCGCUUAAAAGUUAUCGUUAAAAUGUGUGUUGAGAUAAUGUGUCACUUUACAAUGGAAUCCUUCGAAAUUAUUGAAGAAUCAAAGCAAAAUAUUGUAUCUGAAGUAACAAGAUUUAUCGAAAAUUCAUUGUUAAGAUAUAGAAAGUGUAGUACAGUGAAAAAUCAGUUGUCAUAUUGCAAACAAAAUAUCCUACGUGAUUAUAAUUGUCACAGCUGUGGAGGCUAUCUUUGUUCUAAACAAAGGAGAUCUAUGAGAAUUGAGAGAGGUUAUAGAGGAAUAUCAGUGUGUUGAAUAAUUAUUUUUGCUUCCU